rnacentral:rRNA from 1 species
GGCUUCGGCUUGGGGCAGAGCCGCGAACGGGUGAGUAACACGUGGGUAACCUGCCUCGAUGACCGGGACAACCCGGGGAAACCCGGGCUAAUACCGGAUGUGCUCCAUCCACAUCAGUGGAUGCAGGAAAGGAAGCUUCGGCCUCCGCAUCGAGAUGGGCCCGCGGCCCAUUAGCUUGUUGGUGAGGUAACGGCUCACCAAGGCUGCGAUGGGUAGCUGGUCUGAGAGGACGAUCAGCCACACUGGGACUGAGACACGGCCCAGACUCCUACGGGAGGCAGCAGUGGGGAAUCUUGCGCAAUGCGCGAAAGCGUGACGCAGCAACGCCGCGUGGGGGAAGAAGGCUUUCGGGUUGUAAACCCCUUUCAGGAGGGACGAAGCCGGGGCGGUUAAUAGCCGACCUCGGUGACGGUACCUCCAGAAGAAGCCCCGGCUAACUACGUGCCAGCAGCCGCGGUAAUACGUAGGGGGCAAGCGUUGUCCGGAAUUAUUGGGCGUAAAGAGCGUGUAGGCGGUCCGGUUAGUCGGCUGUGAAAGUCCAGAGCUCAACCCUGGGAUGCCGGUCGAUACUGCCGGACUAGAGUCCGGAAGAGGCAAGUGGAAUUCCCGGUGUAGCGGUGAAAUGCGCAGAUAUCGGGAGGAACACCUAUGGCGAAGGCAGCUUGCUGGGACGGUACUGACGCUGAGACGCGAAAGCG